UGGGGAAUUUUGGACAAUGGGCGAAAGCCUGAUCCAGCAAUGCCGCGUGUGUGAAGAAGGCCUUCGGGUUGUAAAGCACUUUUGUCCGGAAAGAAAUCCUUGGCUCUAAUACAGUCGGGGGAUGACGGUACCGGAAGAAUAAGCACCGGCUAACUACGUGCCAGCAGCCGCGGUAAUACGUAGGGUGCAAGCGUUAAUCGGAAUUACUGGGCGUAAAGCGUGCGCAGGCGGUUUGCUAAGACCGAUGUGAAAUCCCCGGGCUCAACCUGGGAACUGCAUUGGUGACUGGCAGGCUAGAGUAUGGCAGAGGGGGGUAGAAUUCCACGUGUAGCAGUGAAAUGCGUAGAGAUGUGGAGGAAUACCGAUGGCGAAGGCAGCCCCCUGGCAAGUACUGACGCUCAUGCACGAAAAGCGUGGGGAGCAAACGGAUUAAUNCCCUGGGUAGUCCCACGCCCUAAANGAUGUNACUAGUUGUUGGGGAUUCAUUUUCCUUAGUAACGUAGCUAACGCGUGAAGUUGACCGCCUGGGGAGUACGGUCGCAAGAUUAAAACUCAAAUAA
rnacentral:rRNA from 1 species